CGUAAUAAAGAAAUAUGAAUCCUAAAAACUCAUUCUCGCAGCCCAGCAAAAACCAGACCAGUAUUCAAAAAAACACACGAUCGAAAUACAGUCCCGUAUAGGCGUCGGGAGCAGCGCGCGGUCGGCAACCCCGCUCCCGCUGCAUAUAUCAAAAUGGCCGAGGCAUCUCCCGCUCCCCAGCAAGUCAGAUCAAAGGGCGACGAGGCGCUGGGAUGACGCAAGAUGGUAUUUCAGAAGAGCAGUGACGGACGACAGAUGGUGAUGAGAUGGUGAUGAAGCCUCAGAGGAGCUGCGGUUUAUGGUGAUCGUGGUGGUGGCAGAGGUGAUGGUGAUUAGGAGCAAUAUUGGUGGUAAUAACUGUGGUAGUAGUGGUGGUGGUGUUGGUGAAGGGUAAGUUGAGAGUGAUGAAUUAAAUUUGGUGAUGGUUACGAGUGUUGGUGAUUAGGAAUGGUGGUGGUGGUGACUAGAGGUGGUAGUGGUGAUAAUAAAUGUGGUGACUGAAGUGAUGACGGUAAAGUGAUAAUAUUAAAAUGAAAAACGAGGAUAAAAUAACCCGAAUGAUGAUGAAUAAUGAACAAUAAUAGCGAAGAACGAGGGAUGAAAAUGGUUACAAACAGCAAUGACAGUGGCGAAUAGUGAAAAUGAUAUAAUGAUAAUGAUAAUGAUAAAAAACAAUGAUGACAAUAAUAAUCACAUGGCGAUAGUGAAAGACAAAACAAUGAAAACUGAACACGAAAAACAACAAUAACAACGAUGACUGAUGGUGACAAUGAUGCAGGCGGCGAGGACGAGGGCUAGUGACGAUGACAGUGGCGUGGGCCCAACAUAAUGGCGCUUUCUUGCCUCAACAAAGGCGCGCAUCUCCCCGCUCAUCAGAUCAGUGGGAGAAAGGCAGGAAAAAAAAAGGGAGGAAGGGACGGCGGCCAUAUUGAUUGAGCUAGUUAGAGUGACCAAUGGGCGCGCGUGUCUGGCUGACGUCACAAGGGCAAGCCACGCGCCGCCCUGGCCACUGGUCACUGGUCACUCUUGUAAUGACCGCCGCCUUCCUCCUUUCCUCCCUCCUCCUUUCCCUCCCUCCCUCUCUCCCCUUCUCUCUUGUCCACCAUACAUUUCACCCUCCCCUUUUCUUCUUUCUUCCUCUUCCAUUUGCUAUGCACUUUUUCCUUUUGAUUCUUGUUUAUUCUUCUUUGUAGUUGUACGCAGACUUUUUUUUUUAUUUUCUGUUCUCUAUUUUCCCUUCCCUACAUGUUUCUUUUCUUUUCUUCCGAAUUUUUCUUCCAAUUUCUCAUCCUUUCUCUUUUCUUUAUAUCCUAUUCUCUUCAUGUUUGUUGACUCUUCCUCUUAUUUUUUUUCUUUUGUUUUCUUUGUUUUUUUUUGUAGUCGUUGUCACUUUUUUCUUUUUCCUCUUUGCCUAUUCUUCUUUCUAAUUGUGAACAGAUUUUUUGUUCUAUUCUUUUUUCUCCUCUUUAGUUUACAUGUUCCCUUUUCUCCUUUUCUUCCAUACAUUCUCUAACCUUUUAUCUUCUUCCAUUUCCUCAUGCUCCCUAUCCUUUUCUUUCGUUAUUGUUUUCAUUCAUCUUUUCUUUUUUUCCUCUUCCAUUCUUUUUUAUAAGCUUUAUCUUAUUUACUUUCUUUAAUCUUUUUCUUUACUUUUAUUUAUGUAUUAAUCUAUUUUUUUCCUUUCUUCCCUCUUUUAAUUAAUUUCUCUGGCUCGCUUUCCUCCUUUCCCUUUCUUUAUUGCAGCUUCCCACCUUCCUUUCUCUCUGCUUCUAUCUUCACUCUUUCUUAUCUCCCUCUUUAUUCUCUCCACCACGAUUUCUGACUUGGGGAUCCUUUCUUUUUUUUCUUUCUCAACGUAAUGUCUCUCUUUUCUUAUCUUUUCUUUAUUGCCGUGUCACGCGUCAUCUUUUCUUUCAUCAGGUCGGCUUAUCAUUGGACUCAUCAAUAAACACGCUCGUGGUAAUGAAAAACAAUUACUUCACAGGAUUUUUUUUUCUGUUCAUAAAAAUGUAUGUAUAUGCAUUUUGUAUUAAACCAUAAAAGUUUCAAAA